GACGAACCGUCCUAACGUUGUUCGGAAUCACUGGGCUUAAAGGGCGCGUAGGCGGUCUAGCCAGUCCGGGGUGAAAGCCUCCAGCUUAACUGGAGAAGUGCCUUGGAUACUGCUGGACUCGAGUGAGGUAGGGGUGAUGGGAACUUCCGGUGGAGCGGUGAAAUGCGUUGAUAUCGGAAGGAACGCCGGUGGCGAAAGCGCAUCACUGGACCUCUUCUGACGCUGAGGCGCGAAAGCCAGGGGAGCAAACGGG
rnacentral:rRNA from 1 species